ensembl:lncRNA
AGGGGAAUUACGAUGGACUAGCUCCCAGCACUGACACAAAGCAAGCCCCUUCCUUCCUCCGCCUCCGUCUGACCCCUGUAAAACGGUGGUGGGAGGUUUGAAGUGGAGGAUGGCAAGGAUGACAAUGAUGCUAGUUAAUCUUUAUAGAUGCUAGUUAACCUUUAUCUCUACACCCCUGCCGUUUACACUCUCCAUCUCAUUUAAUUCACACAAUCCCUGGGAAGAAAGUAAUAGCGAAUCCCCAUUAACAAGUGAAUCCACUGCUCCAGAAAAAUUAGUGACUGCCCCCAAGGUCACCACCAGCUAGUAAGUUACCUAAAAACAGCUGGCCUCCAGAGACUAAGGCUGUUCUCACUCCAGGCCACUUAACUACCAAACAGUCCAGGGUUUCUUCUAGUCCUAACGCUUGGUGAUUUUUUAACUCCCAUUAACUUUCUUUCCCUGAAGGGACAGGGUAGACAGCAGACUUCAAAGGCUCUGGAAGGGCAGCUUUUACUUAAAAGUUAAGGCAGACUUCUGGGAGUCAGUCCGCGCAGCGCAGAAGGGGAAAUGACGUCAUGAGGUUUCUCAGGGCAGCUCCCCACAGGUGCUCCCCCGAGGGCUUCAGGCAGCGACACAAUAGCUGGCUUUUCUGCCAGCUCCCAGGGAGCAUCUCUCCCCUGGCAGGUGGAAAUGUCAUCUCACCUGGUCAGGACGACGGGUGCCUAAUUGGAUGGGAAGAAGCUAAACCAGGAAUUAAUUUGGUUCAGCCUGUGAAACAAUUCGUUUGCUCUGCCUCAUUCUGCCAAUUAAAGAACUUUUCCCAGACACAAUUAGCAUGUAAACCAGGGGCAGAAAAGGAAGAAGGGGCCUCGGCGAUCCGGCCCGGAUGGAGACUGCCGGCGGAGAACCCCGGGGACGUCUUGGGCCAGACAUGAGGGACCGCGCCGGGGACGCACAGACGAGCUCGGGAUUGAACGUCGAAAUCAAGGGCGUUAAAUAGUCACGGCAGAGGAUUGAGCGGUCACGGCUAGCCGGGACCCUUCCCCCGGGUCCGGACCGGAUUCGAAAGGGAUGUCCGCGAGCCAGUCGCCACCCGGGCCGCAGAAGUGCGCAGACAAGACCACGGCCCCCUAGCCCCAGCCCCUCCUGAGCUGGCGCCUCGUGCGGCUGGGGCUGCGCGCGCACCUACGGCCGCAGCAC